GGAAAACCUAAGAAGAUUGCAGCAGUCUCUCCACUGAUGAAUCUGCACAAUUGUAAACACACUGCAGCUGCUCCAAACACUUUUUUCAAGCUAAACCUCUGAAUUCUCUGCAAGCUAACCUCACUAGAGCAUCUGAGCUCAAGUAUCUGUAAGUAGUUACCUCUGGAUUUCAGGUAAGUCUGACCCUGUCGUGUUGAGUGAAAGAUAAAAUCUGGAAUUUAAUGUUCAGAAGAUGUGCUUGUCUUGGGUGCUGGAGAAGUAUAAAGGAUAAGUCUUUUUUUAAAAAAAAAAUAAAUUGAUGGUUUUAUUGAUUCUUUUUUUCUCACAUGAAAACAAUGAGGGGAAAUCUCACAAACCAUACUGAUAAAUCAGAGGGAACUGCACAGACAUGACCUGGAGGGACAGUGCAGCAUCAGGAUUCCAGCCUGUUCUUUGAAAGCGGAACUUGCUGUCAUCAGAUAGAAACAAACAAACAAAAAGCCCUCAGCAGAAUUCAGGAGUACAGAAGUGGCAUUUGUACCCAGUGGGCUGUUCAAGAGGCAGGAGGUUCUGGCCUUGCUUCACCUCCCAGGUAAGAGGGAAUGGGACCAGACUGAAUUUCACAAGCUAUGUUUUUUUUUUUCCCUAGGUUGCUGAAGAAUUUGUUCUGCCCUGGGGGCAGCUCACUGCUUUAUCUCUGCAGUAUGACAAGGUACUGAGAGAGGAACGGGUAGAAGGUGGCUGGUAUUUUAGUCCUACGGCCUUAUUAUCUACUGCAACCCAAAAAGCGUUGCUGCCUUCCUGUGUGCCAGCCAGCAUCAGUGCUGUAAGGCACGGAGUUCUCUUUUGGGGGUGUUUUAUAGUGUUAAAUCUUUCACAGAAAUGAUUACAUUCUGCAGAAGUAUUUGUUAAAAAUAUUGCUGGAGAUGGGACAGUGAACUUCAUGGUUUUCAGGUAGCUCUUCUUGAAAUCCCCUAGGUAGCAGAAAGCAGGUGGUGAGUGCAGGAGCUUUUGUGUUGGAAAACUUUGGCACAUGCUUUGGUAUCAGCCCAUGGGGUGACUUUUGUGCUGUUUCCAUUCUGCACAGGCAUAUACUCUGAGUGUAGGUGGUGAAGCUGGAGGGUGCUGUACCCCAGCUGGUGCCAUUAUGCAUCCUAUUUCUCAAAGGAUGAUUUCAGACCAAAACCCAGUUUUGGUUUCCUGCUCAUUCUGAUGGUUGCUGUGGCCUCUCACAGCAUGCACCUAUGUGACGUGCGGAGAAAAGCCUAGCGAUUAGCAUGGGAACUGAAGAGAUAAAAAGAUAUUACCUUCAAAGACUGAAGCUUCACUGUUUCCAGGCUUCCCAGAUGCUGUGCUCCCACGAGGAGGAGGGACAGAGGCCCCUGACAGCCCGCUGUGGCUGCUGUGGGUGGCUGACAUUUGCCUUUCCCUGCUGCAGAUGCUGCAGAUGGAGAUUGCAGACGGCACGUGUCGGUGACUCCCCCAGGAGCACGGCUUAGCCCUGGUCAGUGUACAAUUACUUGCAUUUGGGCCAGAUUCAAAUCAAAAGAAAACGAUACUGUAUCUCAGUGGACUUGGGAAUGGCAACUUCAGAUAAAGAAACUGCACUUCCUUGUAAUGCAAAAUAAUGUUUAACUCUUUAGAGUUGGUUGAUGGUGAUCCGGUUGCGUGCAAACCAAGAUGGACCUAUUUCUUUGUUUGGUCUCAUCAUAGGCAACAGCCAAACCAGAGAACUGCACACUCAGGUAGCAAGUGCUCAAAGGGCACACAUAGUCAUUGUAGCCGUUUAUUCCGGCAGUGUUGCAGUAUGCAGUGCUGAAGGAGGGGGGCAGAGCAGAGAGGCCUGUGGCAACAGAAGGAGAUGGAAUUGCUUGCAGCAAGCUGUACAGAACAAAUCCUGCAUCCUGCCUGCAGCAAGGAAGAUGUGGUGUGCUGGAUCAAACAAAGCCCAGGGAUCUGGCCCAAAUGCAAGUAAUUUUAAGCUGCCAGAGAUAAGCCUGUUGGCUUUCAGCUGUGGUUGAGGUGACCAUGGCACAGACACCACAUGCCACAGCUGGCCUCCGCUUGCCCAGCAGGUCUCCAUCAGCUUGAGGCAGUGUCUCCUCCUCCUCCUGGACACGACUAUUCUACAUCAGAGCAGGGAACCUGAAUGUUCCAGCGUGUGCUGGAUUGCUGUGCACUGAGCAGCACUGGGACAGCAGCUCCAGACAAGCAGAGAGCUGCAGUGGAGGUUAGAGCACAGCCUCUGGAUCACCCCGAGUCCUUCUCAGGAUCUGAGAGAUGGAGCUUUGUUGGGGUAGCAACAACGAGUCACUGCUUCUCUGCUACCCCAUGUGUUUCUAGCUCCCUUAUUGCCCAGAGCCAUGUUAGUCUGUGCCCAUUGCCACAUGGAAUCAUACCUGGAUAAGUGAUGUUUGCACUUUUUCUAACCCAGAGCUGUUUUUUAAGAGUCUGGAGUUUGAGAAGAGUAUUUUUUAGAAAACAUUUCACUUUGGGUGAAUGGGUCUAGCAGAAACAGUGCUUUCUUGUAGUCAUAAAUCCAGGCUCAAAACAAAAACUCCAGGGCUACCUUGCCCCAGUCGCAUUAGCCUAAUGAACCACCAGAUCCCUGCAGCCUCCUUGGGCCACUGACAAGGGACUGCUGCCUCCCCAGCCUCAUGUGCUGUGCCUGAGAUGAAACAACUCCUCUACACACUCCAUUCUGUCACCGUUAGCCUGGAUACUGCAUAUCCAAAAUGGAGUCAGGGCUGUGCUACGUCUGAGAUGCUCCAGCAGUUGAUAGCUGCAAAGGUUUAGGAUGGCACUUAACAACAUUUUGAGGACAGAGGUUGUUUGUGCAGCAGCAACUUCAAGUAAACCUGACUGCAGAUAGCACAGCCUCUACCAAGAGAGACAUUAGCUGCGGGAGCCAGGCAAGCUACAUUUCAUUUGCUUCUUUGACAAACUGUUACUAGACUUCUUAAAUGUGAUCCAAGCAUACCGAAGCCUUGUCCAGAGAUGGACUCUGUGAAUUGCUGUGGAUGGCAGUGUUACAGUGGCGUAAGUCUGACAGAUUGGGGCAUCCUGGUCA
rnacentral:lncRNA from 1 species